rnacentral:rRNA from 1 species
UACAGAGGUCUCAAGCGUUGUUCGGAUUCAUUGGGCGUAAAGGGUGCGUAGGUGGCGUCGUAAGUCAGGUGUGAAAUCUCGGGGCUUAACCCCGAAACUGCACUUGAUACUGCGAUGCUCGAGUACUGGAGAGGAGAUUGGAAUUUACGGUGUAGCAGUGAAAUGCGUAGAUAUCGUAAGGAAGACCAGUGGCGAAGGCGAAUCUCUGGACAGUUACUGACACUGAGGCACGAAGGCCAGGGGAGCAAACGGG